rnacentral:rRNA from 1 species
CUGCAGGCUGCAACUCGCCUGCACGAAGUCGGAAUUGCUAGUAAUCGUAGGUCAGCAUACUACGGUGAAUACGUUCCCGGGCCUUGUACACACCGCCCGUCAAACCAUGAGAGUUGGCAACACCCGAAGUCGGUAGUCUAACCGCAAGGAGGACGCCGCCGAAGGUGGGGUUGAUGAUUAGGGUUAAGUCGUAACAAGGUAUC